CCUACGGGAGGCUGCAGUGGGGGAUAUUGCACAAUGGGGGGAACCCUGAUGCAGCGACGCCGCGUGGGUGAAGAAGCGCCUCGGCGCGUAAAGCCCUGUCAGCAGGGAAGAAAGUGACGGUACCUGAUGAAGAAGCCCCGGCUAAGUACGUGCCAGCAGCCGCGGUAAUACGGAGGGGGCAAGCGUUAUCCGGAUUUACUGGGGGUAAAGGGGGCGCAGACGGCGAUGCAAGCCAGGAGUGAAAGCCCGGGGCCCAACCCCGGGACUGCUCUUGGAACUGCGUGGCUUGAGUGCAGGAGGGGCAGGCGGAAUUCCUGGUGUAGCGGUGAAAUGCGUAGAUAUCAGGAGGAACACCGGUGGCGAAGGCGGCCUGCUGGACUGCAACUGACGUUGAGGCCCGAAAGCGUGGGGAGCAAACAGGAUUAGAUACCCCUGUAGUC
rnacentral:rRNA from 1 species